CAGCCGCCGCGGUAAUACGGAGGGUGCAAGCGUUAAUCGGAAUUACUGGGCGUAAAGCGCACGCAGGCGGUCUGUCAAGUCAGAUGUGAAAUCCCCGGGCUUAACCUGGGAACUGCAUUUGAAACUGGCAGGCUAGAGUCUUGUAGAGGGGGGUAGAAUUCCAGGUGUAGCGGUGAAAUGCGUAGAGAUCUGGAGGAAUACCGGUGGCGAAGGCGGCCCCCUGGACAAAGACUGACGCUCAGGUGCGAAAGCGUGGGGAGCAAACAGGAUUAGAUACCCGCGUAGUCCCUGUCUCUUAUAU
rnacentral:rRNA from 1 species